GACAGAGGUCUCAAGCGUUUAGGCGGAAUCACUGGGCUUAAAGCGUGUGUAGGCGGAUCGUUAAGUGCCUUGUGAAAUCCCACAGCUCAACUGUGGAACUGCUUGGCAUACUGGCGGUCUUGAGCCAUCUAGGGGUCGCUGGAACAAACGGUGGAGCGGUGAAAUGCGUAGAUAUUGCUCGGAAGGCCGGAGCCGAAGGGGCCCCACUGGUACGUAACUGACGCUGAGGCACGAAAGCGUGGGGAGCAAACAGG
rnacentral:rRNA from 1 species